AAGCCUGCUAUCGGAGUACGACUUAGCCAUGCGAGUCACAGGGGCGCAAGCCACAGGCAGACGGCUCAGUAACACGUAGGUAACCUACCCUUCGGACGGGCACAACCCCGGGAAACUGGGGCUAAUUCCCGAUAGGUACCCCCUUCUGGAAUGUGGGGAUAUCCAAAGCUCCGGCGCCGAAGGAUGGGCCUGCGGCCGAUUAGGUUGUUGGCGGGGUAACAGCCCACCAAGCCGACGAUCGGUACGGGCAGUGAGAGCUGUAGCCCGGAGAUGGGGACUGAGACAAGGCCCCAGGCCCUACGGGGCGCAGCAGGCGCGAAACCUUCACAAUGCACGAAAGUGUGAUGAGGGUACUCCGAGUGCGCAUACAUUGUAUGUGCUUUUCUGCAGCGUAAAUAGUUGCAGGAAUAAGGGCUGGGCAAGACCGGUGCCAGCCGCCGCGGUAACACCGGCAGCCCUAGUGGUGGCCGCUUUUAUUGGGCCUAAAGCGUCCGUAGCCGGACAGGCAAGUCUUUGGGUAAAUCCUACGUCUUAAGCGUGGGAAUUCUAAAGAUACUACCUGUCUUGAGGCCGGGAGAGGCUGGAGGUACUCCUGGGGUAGGGGUAAAAUCCUAUAAUCCUGGGGGGACCACCGAUGGCGAAGGCAUCCAGCUGGAACGGGCCUGACGGUGAGGGACGAAACCCAGGGGAGCGAGCCGGAUUAGAUACCCGGGUAGUCCUGGGCGUAAAUGAUGUGGGCUUGGUGUGAGCGCAUCGACGAGGUGCGCUUGUGCCGUAU
rnacentral:rRNA from 1 species